rnacentral:rRNA from 1 species
UACGAAGGGGGCUAGCGUUGUUCGGAUUUACUGGGCGUAAAGCGCACGUAGGCGGAUCGUUAAGUCGGGGGUGAAAUCCUGGAGCUCAACUCCAGAACUGCCUUCGAUACUGGCGAUCUCGAGUCCGGAAGAGGUGAGUGGAACUCCUAGUGUAGAGGUGGAAUUCGUAGAUAUUAGGAAGAACACCAGUGGCGAAAGGCGGCUCACUGGUCCGGUACUGACGCUGAGGUGCGAAAGCGUGGGGAGCAAA